rnacentral:lncRNA from 1 species
UUAUUUUAGUUUUUUCAAAUUAUCUAUACAUCUAUACAUAUACAUUAAUCUCCAUGACUAAAUCCUACAUGUACCCACCCCUUCCUUCCAAUCUCACGCAAAAAUCAAAUUUCACCUACCUUCCGAACUCAUGCAAGAGCCAAUUUUCACCUACAUUCCUACCUCAUGCAAAAAUCAAUUUUCACCUAUCAAAACCAAUUUUCACCUAUCACCCAAACUCAUGCAAAUAUCAAAAACCAAUUUUCACCUACCUUCCUACCUCAUGCAAAAACCAAUUUUCACCUAUCAUCCAAACUCAUGCAAAUGGUAAGCUUAACUUACCCUCUCAAAUUACACUAUAAAAAGAAAUGUGAGAAAGCAAUUUUAUAUUCAUCCAAUAAUAUAUCUCCUUUUUAAAUAUGUUAGCAAUUGUUUUUGCACUGUUAUUCUUGUAGUAGUGAUUUUAUAUUUGCUAGUCGGAGAAGUCGUAUUAGGAGAUUAUGUAAAUAAUGUACUUUUACCUAAAUAUCCAUACUUCAGUAAAUCAAAUAUGGAUUAUGCAUCAGGGCAAGGUAUAUC